AUUCACUCGGUCGCCACGUACUUCCCACCUUUCCCAGGGGCUGUGGAUCUAGUUUGAGGCUUUUGACACUGUAAUUAGUAGGCCCUGCUCUUUGGGGGGAGUGUCUUGUCCUACCUAUUCCAAAUAAGCAGCAUGUUCAACCACACUCCAAGCAAAUGGUUCUGUUUUGGAUUUUCCGGGGAAAAGAGGAAUGCACUCUAGGCAGAUUGCUUUCCUCUCCUGCGGCACCAGGGUGAGCACCAGGGUGAGCUUCCUAGACAGCUGAUUCUCCUUUGAGGUUUGGCAGCUCCAGGCCACCAGCAAUGGGGAUCAAUGCUCCUUCCUUCCUCCUUGAGUCUGAGGCCCUGCGUUCCUCUUCUGCCUUUAACCCAUCCACUGGCCCAUGAGUGCUGCAGUGUCCUGGCAUCUCAAGGGACAAGGAAGCAACAGGACUCGUGAGUGACUCUGGAUUCUGCACCCAUUUACUUCAAAAGAAGAUGAUGGACAUCAAAGAACCACCGUAAAGAGUUUACUUUCUUUAUGGCAAAGCUAGCCAUUUGGGCAAAGAAACUGCCCUUGCCUCAAUUGCUGACAUUAUACUGUCCAAAUUGGACCAGCAGGAUGGAAAAAAGAAGUAGCUGCCAAAUUUUGUCAAGACAAGGCUGUGCUCCAGGUUCCCGGAUGUUGUGAUGUCACCCAUUCUGGGUGGGGCUUUGGUGAUGCAGCUCUCUUUGCCUCAUUUUUACUCCUGUAAAUAAAUCAUCACCUGUACUUUUGUAAGUAACCCCAAUAAAACUCAUUGGCUAGCCAA